rnacentral:rRNA from 1 species
GACGAACGCUGGCGGCGUGCUUAACACAUGCAAGUCGAACGGAAAGGCCCUGCUUGCAGGGUACUCGAGUGGCGAACGGGUGAGUAACACGUGGGUGAACUGCCCUGCACUUCGGGAUAAGCCUGGGAAACUGGGUCUAAUACCGGAUAGGAGCCAUUUUUAGUGUGAUGGUUGGAAAGUUUUUUCGGUGUAGGAUGAGCUCGCGGCCUAUCAGCUUGUUGGUGGGGUAAUGGCCUACCAAGGCGGCGACGGGUAGCCGGCCUGAGAGGGUGGACGGCCACAUUGGGACUGAGAUACGGCCCAGACUCCUACGGGAGGCAGCAGUGGGGAAUAUUGCACAAUGGGCGCAAGCCUGAUGCAGCGACGCCGCGUGGGGGAUGACGGCCUUCGGGUUGUAAACUCCUUUCGCUAGGGACGAAGCUUUUUGUGACGGUACCUAGAGAAGAAGCACCGGCUAACUACGUG